rnacentral:rRNA from 1 species
CCAUGAAUAUAAAAGUGGCAACUAAUAACUAACAGUUAAAAAGUCAAAGAACAUGGCGGUGUUUAUUACUUUCAGGGGAACCUGUCUCUUAAUUCGACUCUCCACGACAACCUUGCCACCCCUUUCUACUGCCUGUAUAUUGCCGUUUAAACAGUAUCAAUCUAAAAAUUAUACAAACACAAACUCACUGUCUACCUCAGGUCAAAAUGCAGCACAUGGGGUGGGGAAGAUGGGUUACACCAAUUAAUACUUACCGGAAUCCAUAACCAAACUCACCGAUAAAGUUGAACUUGACAGUAUACCUAAACAACCACUUUCGUAGAAAUAAUACCAAUAUACACGCACAAAUCGCCCGUCACUCUCACUAAGANUUC